GGCGGACGGGUGAGUAAUGCUUAGGAAUCUGCCUAUUAGUGGGGGACAACAUUUCGAAAGGAAUGCUAAUACCGCAUACGUCCUACGGGAGAAAGCAGGGGAUCUUCGGACCUUGCGCUAAUAGAUGAGCCUAAGUCGGAUUAGCUAGUUGGUGGGGUAAAGGCCUACCAAGGCGACGAUCUGUAGCGGGUCUGAGAGGAUGAUCCGCCACACUGGGACUGAGACACGGCCCAGACUCCUACGGGAGGCAGCAGUGGGGAAUAUUGGACAAUGGGCGCAAGCCUGAUCCAGCCAUGCCGCGUGUGUGAAGAAGGCCUUAUGGUUGUAAAGCACUUUAAGCGAGGAGGAGGCUACUUUAGAUAAUACCUAGAGAUAGUGGACGUUACUCGCAGAAUAAGCACCGGCUAACUCUGUGCCAGCAGCCGCGGUAAUACAGAGGGUGCAAGCGUUAAUCGGAUUUACUGGGCGUAAAGCGCGCGUAGGCGGCUAAUUAAGUCAAAUGUGAAAUCCCCGAGCUUAACUUGGGAAUUGCAUUCGAUACUGGUUAGCUAGAGUGUGGGAGAGGAUGGUAGAAUUCCAGGUGUAGCGGUGAAAUGCGUAGAGAUCUGGAGGAAUACCGAUGGCGAAGGCAGCCAUCUGGCCUAACACUGACGCUGAGGUGCGAAAGCAUGGGGAGCAAACAGGAUUAAAUACCCUGGUAGUCCAUGCCGUAAACGAUGUCUACUAGCCGUUGGGGCCUUUGAGGCUUUAGUGGCGCACCUAACGCGAUAAUAAACCCCUGGGGAGUACGGUCCCA
rnacentral:rRNA from 1 species